GUAAUUGCGGUUUCCCGACUGGCCUUCUGGGUAGUCUGUAUGUGAGUGGGAGCGAGUUACACUCAUCUCCCAGUCUCCGCUUCAGACACGGAGAUAGCAGCAGCUGUAUUUGUUGUCUGGCGCUGCCGAAGCUUGCGAGAUAGUAAAGCGCAGCAAAGAAAUACACAGAGUGAGAAAAGAGAGAAGAAGCAUAUUGCUUUACUUUUGUAUCAGAAGUGAAGAAAACGAGCGACUGGGGGAAAAAAACAAAAACUACAGGAUGUUUAUAACCCUGGAAAGAAGAGCGCUGUUGUUUAAAAGGCGUGGGUGAGUGCGCUUAGUCGGCUUGUUAAAGCUCUCGCACGGCGGCAGCGAUAAGCCAACAUGGCGCUGCGAGGCAUUACGGGACUGCAGUAAUCGCAGGAGUCUGCGACCCACUGCCACCUGUACUUAAGAAUCGUAUUCUGGAGAAAUUAAUUGUAUACGAAUAAGAAGUUUGUUUGUUAUACCAGGAAUACCUCGAUUGGGAUCUUGUACAAACUUGGUUAUCCAUCUGCGAGGAUGUGUGGAGUUUUUACCGUUUUUAUCGCACCUUUUCCUCCCCAUUGGAAAUGUAUUGUGACUCUUGGGAUCGUUACUGAAAAAGUACCUAUGCUUCGACUUCGUUAAUUUGUAUAUUUGUUUCACAGAAAGCACAAGUACAUAAUUAAAGUGUCGAUAUUCUGGAUUCUUGAAAACCUUUCCUAAAACUCAAAAGAGUCGCGGUGGAUAAGGCAAUUCUUACGGUCCCUAACGUAAACGAAACUUUCCUUGAUAUUGGUAUCAAACCAUCUCGGUGGCAAUUUUGGAUUUUGUCUGUCCGUUGAUUUCAUCUAUUCAGAGAAAGGACCUGUUUUGCAUUCGCUGCUGGUUUUAAUGCACAGACUUUAAAACCAACGAGAAAAGUUGACAAGGAACCGGAGACACUAAUCUAUAUCCAGGACUUGGCAUAGUUGCAGGAGUUGCCAGCGUACCGAAGAUUUUACUUCAGAAGAAAUCGCAGUCAUGCUCUCCGCAACACCGCUGUACGGCACGGUUCACAGCUGGAUGAACAAUGAGCGUGUGCGCAUGUGUGGGAUUAGCGACGAUAG